UACGUAGGGUGCAAGCGUUGUCCGGAAUUAUUGGGCGUAAAGAGCUUGUAGGCGGUUUGUCGCGUCUGCUGUGAAAUUUCGGGGCUCAACCCCGAACUUGCAGUGGGUACGGGCAGACUAGAGUGUGGUAGGGGAGACUGGAAUUCCUGGUGUAGCGGUGAAAUGCGCAGAUAUCAGGAGGAACACCGAUGGCGAAGGCAGGUCUCUGGGCCAUAACUGACGCUGAGAAGCAAAAGCAUGGGGAGCGAACAGG
rnacentral:rRNA from 1 species